UAUAAUAUGUAUAUAUAUAUACAGAGAGAGAGAGAGAGAGAGAGAGAGAGAGAGAAAGAAAGGGUAAACGAAUCGAGAAUUUGAAUAAAACAAAGAACGAUAUCGAGAUUAAAUUGAAAAGAAACUUUGUUAGCUCUUGACAAAAAGGCAUUCGAUAAGGAAGCAUUAGGCGUCCAAAGUACAAUUAUAUCAAAAACCCAUUCAAAUUAAAGAAGAUUACAUAUGUAUCUGAUUAUGAUACCUUAUAUUUCUUAUUAUUCAUAUAAAAGAAAAGAAAAAGAAAAAAAAAACAGUUAAGAAGAAUAAGAAAGAAAUCUCAUCUUUAUUUCCCAAUAUCUUCAAUUAUGAUAGAUUUCUAAAUACAAUAAGGAUAAUAAUAACAAUAAUAACAACAACAAUAAUAUGCAGAAGAAGAAGAAGAAGAAGAAUAAAGUAUCUUGGUAUAUUCAAUUUUGCUUUCUUGUUCUUAUGUAGUAUAUGUAUCUAGUACAAUGUAAAUUUUAAUGUGGGAUUUCAUUUAAACGUGUCAUUUAAUGCGUAUUAUGAUUAAUAUGCAUUAUUCAUACACAUAUCAAGGUAUGUGUAUUUAAAUGAAUAUAGAAUUUAUACCUCGUUGACAAAUUAAAUUUACAAUAUUGAAAUAAGGGUGUCACGAUCAGGUACACGCAUCACGUUCGAUCGUCGACGAUCUUUCUAUAUAUAAAAUAUAUCGAUACCAAACGAUAUUACAUUUGUUGAAAGGCAUAUACGUAUUACGUACAUAUGCGUACACGUGCAUACAGAAAAAUUAAGAAAAAAAUAGCAAAAUAGAGCGAGGAAGAGAGAGAGAGAGAGAGAGAUGAAAGUUCAUUGUUUACGAGGAAGGACGUCUGUCCUAACAAACGGAGUUUUCGAUGAGGUCUCGUAUUUUUCUAUUCCUGUUGCUUUCUUUUAUUUUUUGAUUUUGAUUAAUUAACUAAUUAAAUUAUAAAAAUUUUAAUAUAUAUAUAUAUAUUAUAUUAUUACCCUGAAAGAAAAAGAUAAUGUUUAUACCAUUUACUAGCUGACGUAUACAAAGCAAAUCUUAUUACAAUGUUUAUAUGUUUCUAUAUAAGCUGAAAUAUCUAAAUACAACUUAUGUUAUUUACUUUCUAUCGAAUAUCGUAUGAGAUCAGUCUUUCGGCAACCACCGAGCUGGAAAAUUGGAAAUAAACUCUAAUACAAUCUUUUAUUCGUUUGUCGUUAACGUUACGACUUUUGAUAAAAGAUUUCAAUACUUCGGAUAAUAGUUAAAAUGCCUUUCAACUGGCCGUAGAUAACAAAGCUCUUAACAAAUGUAUCAACGUAAGAUGUAAUACCACUGACUAAGAAAUUCAUUAAUUAUAGUCGACUAUUGUCAUUUUUCGAUGCAAGAUGUAAGUCGUAUUUGCAUUGAUAGGCAGAUGAAUACGUAUAUGAUAAUGUUUUUUUAUAAACCCUGAGUUACUCAUUUCUGAUACAGAUUCAGAUAUAUACAGAUAUCUAUAUAUAUUAUAUAUUAUAUAUUAUAUAUAUAUAAAUAUAUAUACAGAGAGAGAAAGAGAGAGAGAGAGAAAGAAAAAGGGUAAAGGAAUCGAGAAUUUGAAUAAAACAAAGAACGAUAUCGAGAUUAAAUUGAAAAGAAACUUUGUUAGCUCUUGACAAAAAGGCAUUCGAUAAGGAAGCAUUAGCCCUCCAAAGUACAAUUAUAUCAAAAACCCAUUCAAAUUAAAGAAGAUUACAUAUGUAUCUGAUUAUGAUACCUUAUAUUUCUUAUUAUUCAUAUAAAAUAAAAGAAAAAGAAAAAAAAACAGUUAUGAAAAAUAAGAAAGAAAUCUCAUCUUUAUUUCCCAAUAUCUUCAAUUAUGAUAGAUUUCUAAAUACAAUAAGGAUAAUAAUAACAAUAAUAACAACAACAAAAAUAUGAAGAAGAAGAAGAAGAAGAAGAAUAAAGUAUCUUGGUAUAUUCAAUUUUGCUUUCUUGUUCUUAUGUAGUAUAUGUAUCUAGUACAAUGUAAAUUUUAAUGUGGGAUUUCAUUUAAACGUGUCAUUUAAUGCGUAUUAUGAUUAAUAUGCAUUAUUCAUACACAUAUCAAUGUAUGUGUAUUUAAAUGAAUAUAGAAUUUAUACCUCGUUGACAAAUUAAAUUUACAAUAUUGAAAUAAGGGUGUCACGAUCAGGUACACGCAUCACGUUCGAUCGUCGACGAUCUUUCUAUAUAUAAAAUAUAUCGAUACCAAACGAUAUUACAUUUGUUAAAAUGCAUAUACGUAUUACGUACAUACGCGUACACGUGCAUACAGAAAAAUUAAGAAAAAAAUAGCAAAACAGUGCGAGGAAGAGACAAAGAGAGAGAGAGAGAUGAAAGUACAUUGUUUUCAAGGAAGGGCGUCUGUCCUAACGAACGGAGUUUUCGAUGAGGUCUCGUAUUUUUCUAUUCCUGUUGCUUUCUUUUAUUUUUUGAUUUUGAUUAAUUGACUAAUUAAAUUAUAAAAAUUUUAAUAUAUAUAUAUAUAUAUAUAUAUAUAUAUAUAUAUAUAUAUUACACUGAAAGAAAAAGAGAAUGUUUAUACCAUUUAUUAGCUGACGUAUAGAAAGCAUAUCUUAUUACAAUGUUUAUUUGUUUCUAUAUAAGCUGAAAUAUCUAAAUACACUUUACGUUAUUUACUUUCUGUCGAAUAUCGUAUGAGAUCAGUCUUUCGGCAACCACCGAGCUGGAAAAUUGGAAAUAAACUCUAAUACAAUCUUUUAUUCGUUUGUCGUUAACGUUACGACUUUUGAUAAAAGAUUUCAAUACUUCGGAUAAUAGUUAAAAUGCCUUUCAACUGGCCGUAGAUAACAAAGCUCUUAACAAAUGUAUCAACGUAAGAUGUAAUACCACUGACUAAGAAAUUCAUUAAUUAUAGUCGACUAUUGUCAUUUUUCAAUGCAAGAUGUAAGUCGUAUUUGCAUUGAUAGGCAGAUGAAUACGUAUAUGAUAAUGUUUUUUUAUAAACCCUGAGUUACUCAUUUCUGAUACAGAUUCAGAUAUAUACAGAUAUCUAUAUAUAUUAUAUAUUAUAUAUUAUAUAUAUAUAAAUAUAUAUACAGAGAGAGAAAGAGAGAGAGAGAGAAAGAAAAAGGGUAAAGGAAUCGAGAAUUUGAAUAAAACAAAGAACGAUAUCGAGAUUAAAUUGAAAAGAAACUUUGUUAGCUCUUGACAAAAAGGCAUUCGAUAAGGAAGCAUUAGCCCUCCAAAGUACAAUUAUAUCAAAAACCCAUUCAAAUUAAAGAAGAUUACAUAUGUAUCUGAUUAUGAUACCUUAUAUUUCUUAUUAUUCAUAUAAAAUAAAAGAAAAAGAAAAAAAAACAGUUAUGAAAAAUAAGAAAGAAAUCUCAUCUUUAUUUCCCAAUAUCUUCAAUUAUGAUAGAUUUCUAAAUACAAUAAGGAUAAUAAUAACAAUAAUAACAACAACAAAAAUAUGAAGAAGAAGAAGAAGAAGAAGAAUAAAGUAUCUUGGUAUAUUCAAUUUUGCUUUCUUGUUCUUAUGUAGUAUAUGUAUCUAGUACAAUGUAAAUUUUAAUGUGGGAUUUCAUUUAAACGUGUCAUUUAAUGCGUAUUAUGAUUAAUAUGCAUUAUUCAUACACAUAUCAAUGUAUGUGUAUUUAAAUGAAUAUAGAAUUUAUACCUCGUUGACAAAUUAAAUUUACAAUAUUGAAAUAAGGGUGUCACGAUCAGGUACACGCAUCACGUUCGAUCGUCGACGAUCUUUCUAUAUAUAAAAUAUAUCGAUACCAAACGAUAUUACAUUUGUUGAAAGGCAUAUACGUAUUACGUACAUACGCGUACACGUGCAUACAGAAAAAUUAAGAAAAAAAUAGCAAAAUAGAGCGAGGAAGAGAGAGAGAGAGAGAGAGAUGAAAGUUCAUUGUUUACGAGGAAGGACGUCUGUCCUAACAAACGGAGUUUUCGAUGAGGUCUCGUAUUUUUGUAUUCCUGUUGCUUUCUUUUAUUUUUUGAUUUUGAUUAAUUAACUAAUUAAAUUAUAAAAAUUUUAAUAUAUAUAUAUAUAUAUAUAUAUAUAUAUAUAAUAUUAUUACACUGAAAGAAAAAGAGGAUGUUUAUACCAUUUACUAGCUGACGUAUACAAAGCAAAUCUUAUUACAAUGUUUAUAUGUUUCUAUAUAAGCUGAAAUAUCUAAAUACAACUUAUGUUAUUUACUUUCUGUCGAAUAUCGUAUGAGAUCAGUCUUUCGGCAACCACCGAGGUGGAAUGUUGGAAGAUCCCAUACAAACAUACAUUUGUAAAUAGAUACAUAUGUGUAUAUGUACAUAUGUACGUAACUAGAUACAUAAUAUACACACCCACACACACAUACACAAAGUAUACAGUAGUCUUUCUCUUGGGUAUUGCUUGAGAUUUUCUUAUAUUGUAUGGACAGUAACGAGCAACCAUUGUUCUGCAAUGAGCCAAAAUUAAAUAUCUGAUAUUGUUAUUGAUACAUUAUGAACUAAAAAUGUUUAAAUUGAUUAAAAAGAAAUUAAUACUUGAUAGAAAAAGAAAAAAUUACACAUUAUUGAAGGGUAUUUGUUAUUUUCGGCAUCAAUUUACAAUGAAAUGUUUUCUACAAUUCCAUUGAUUUUCUAUUAGCAAUACUUUUAAUGUGUACGCAUAAGUGUAUGUAUAUAUAUUUUUGUAAUGGAACGAAAUCUAUUAGUUGUUUAUUUUUAAUUAGAUAUAUGAUUCUACUUCUGGUUAAUAAACUUUACAUUAUUAUAUUGGAAGAUACAAUGGAAGAUAUCGAAUUAAACUCUAAUACAAUGUUUUAUUCGUUUGUCGUUAACGUUAAGACUUUUGAUAAAAGAUUUCAGUACUUCGGUUAAUAGUUAAAAUGCCUUUCAACUGGCCGUAGAUAACACAGCUCUUCACUAAUGUAUCAACGUAAGAUGUAAUACCACUGAUUAAGAAAUUCACUAAUUAUAGUCGACUAUUGUCAUUCUUCGAUGCAAAAUGUAAGUUGUAAUUGCAUUGAUACGUACAUGAAUACGUAUAUGAUAAUGUUUUUUUAUAAACCCUGAGUUUAUUUCUGAUACAGAUUGAGAUAUAUACAGAUAUAUAUAUAUAUAUAUAUAUAUAUAUAUAUAUAUAUAUAUAUAUAUAUAUUAUAUAUAAUAUGUAUAUAUAUAUACAGAGAGAGAGAGAGAGAGAGAAAGAAAGGGUAAACGAAUCGAGAAUUUGAAUAAAACAAAGAACGAUAUCGAGAUUAAAUUGAAAAGAAACUUUGUUAGCUCUUGACAAAAAGGCAUUCGAUAAGGAAGCAUUAGGCGUCCAAAGUACAAUUAUAUCAAAAACCCAUUCAAAUUAAAGAAGAUUACAUAUGUAUCUGAUUAUGAUACCUUAUAUUUCUUAUUAUUCAUAUAAAAGAAAAGAAAAAGAAAAAAAAAACAGAUAAGAAGAAUAAGAAAGAAAUCUCAUCUUUAUUUCCCAAUAUCUUCAAUUAUGAUAGAUUUCUAAAUACAAUAAGGAUAAUAAUAACAAUAAUAACAACAACAAUAAUAUGCAGAAGAAGAAGAAGAAGAAGAAUAAAGUAUCUUGGUAUAUUCAAUUUUGCUUUCUUGUUCUUAUGUAGUAUAUGUAUCUAGUACAAUGUAAAUUUUAAUGUGGGAUUUUAUUUAAACGUGUCAUUUAAUGCGUAUUAUGAUUAAUAUGCAUUAUUCAUACACAUAUCAAUGUAUGUGUAUUUAAAUGAAUAUAGAAUUUAUACCUCGUUGACAAAUUAAAUUUACAAUAUUGAAAUAAGGGUGUCACGAUCAGGUACACGCAUCACGUUCGAUCGUCGACGAUCUUUCUAUAUAUAAAAUAUAUCGAUACCAAACGAUAUUACAUUUGUUGAAAGGCAUAUACGUAUUACGUACAUACGCGUACACGUGCAUACAGAAAAAUUAAGAAAAAAAUAGCAAAAUAGAGCGAGGAAGAGAGAGAGAGAGAGAGAGAGAUGAAUGUUCAUUGUUUACGAGGAAGGACGUCUGUCCUAACAAACGGAGUUUUCGAUGAGGUCUCGUAUUUUUGUAUUCCUGUUGCUUUCUUUUAUUUUUUGAUUUUGAUUAAUUAACUAAUUAAAUUAUAAAAAUUUUAAUAUAUAUAUAUAUAUAUAUAUAUAUAUAUAUAUAUAUAAUAUUAUUACACUGAAAGAAAAAGAGAAUGUUUAUACCAUUUACUAGCUGACGUAUACAAAGCAAAUCUUAUUACAAUGUUUAUAUGUUUCUAUAUAAGCUGAAAUAUCUAAAUACAACUUAUGUUAUUUACUUUCUGUCGAAUAUCGUAUGAGAUCAGUCUUUCGGCAACCACCGAGGUGGAAUGUUGGAAGAUCCCAUACAAACAUACAUUUGUAAAUAGAUACAUAUGUGUAUAUGUACAUAUGUACGUAACUAGAUACAUAAUAUACACACCCACACACACAUACACAAAGUAUACAGUAGUCUUUCUCUUGGGUAUUGCUUGAGAUUUUCUUAUAUUGUAUGGACAGUAACGAGCAACCUUUGUUCUGCAAUGAGCCAAAAUUAAAUAUCUGAUAUUGUUAUUGAUACAUUAUGAACUAAAAAUGUUUAAAUUGAUUAAAAAGAAAUUAAUACUUGAUAGAAAAAGAAAAAAUUACACAUUAUUGAAGGGUAUUUGUUAUUUUCGGCAUCAAUUUACAAUGAAAUGUUUUCUAUAAUCCUAUUGAUUUUUUAUUAGCAAUACUUUUAAUGUGUACGGAUAAAUGUAUGUAUAUAUAUCUUUGUAAUGGAACGAAAUCUAUUAGUUGUUUAUUUUUAAUUAGAUAUAUGAUUCUACUUCUCGUUAAUAAACUUUACAUUAUUAUAUUGGAAGAUACAAUGGAAGAUAUCGAAUUAAACUCUAAUACAAUCUUUUAUUCGUUUGUCGUUAACGUUAAGACUUUUGAUAAAAGAUUUCAAUACUUCGGUUAAUAGUUAAAAUGCCUUUCAACUGGCCGUAGAUAACAAAGCUCUUCACAAAUGUAUCAACGUAAGAUGUAAUACCACUGAUUAAGAAAUUCACUAAUUAUAGUCGACUAUUGUCAUUUCUCGAUGCAAGAUGUAAGUCGUAUUUGCAUUGAUACGCAGAUGAAUACGUAUAUGAUAAUGUUUUUUUAUAAACCCUGAGUUUAUUUCUGAUACAGAUUGAGAUAUAUACAGAUAUAUAUAUAUAUAUAUAUAUAUAUAUUAUAUAUAAUAUGUAUAUAUAUAUACAGAGAGAGAGAGAGAGAGAGAAAGAAAGGGUAAACGAAUCGAGAAUUUGAAUAAAACAAAGAACGAUAUCGAGAUUAAAUUGAAAAGAAACUUUGUUAGCUCUUGACAAAAAGGCAUUCGAUAAGGAAGCAUUAGGCGUCCAAAGUACAAUUAUAUCAAAAACCCAUUCAAAUUAAAGAAGAUUACAUAUGUAUCUGAUUAUGAUACCUUAUAUUUCUUAUUAUUCAUAUAAAAGAAAAGAAAAAGAAAAAAAAAACAGAUAAGAAGAAUAAGAAAGAAAUCUCAUCUUUAUUUCCCAAUAUCUUCAAUUAUGAUAGAUUUCUAAAUACAAUAAGGAUAAUAAUAACAAUAAUAACAACAACAAUAAUAUGCAGAAGAAGAAGAAGAAGAAGAAUAAAGUAUCUUGGUAUAUUCAAUUUUGCUUUCUUGUUCUUAUGUAGUAUAUGUAUCUAGUACAAUGUAAAUUUUAAUGUGGGAUUUUAUUUAAACGUGUCAUUUAAUGCGUAUUAUGAUUAAUAUGCAUUAUUCAUACACAUAUCAAUGUAUGUGUAUUUAAAUGAAUAUAGAAUUUAUACCUCGUUGACAAAUUAAAUUUACAAUAUUGAAAUAAGGGUGUCACGAUCAGGUACACGCAUCACGUUCGAUCGUCGACGAUCUUUCUAUAUAUAAAAUAUAUCGAUACCAAACGAUAUUACAUUUGUUGAAAGGCAUAUACGUAUUACGUACAUACGCGUACACGUGCAUACAGAAAAAUUAAGAAAAAAAUAGCAAAAUAGAGCGAGGAAGAGAGAGAGAGAGAGAGAGAGAUGAAUGUUCAUUGUUUACGAGGAAGGACGUCUGUCCUAACAAACGGAGUUUUCGAUGAGGUCUCGUAUUUUUGUAUUCCUGUUGCUUUCUUUUAUUUUUUGAUUUUGAUUAAUUAACUAAUUAAAUUAUAAAAAUUUUAAUAUAUAUAUAUAUAUAUAUAUAUAUAUAUAUAUAUAUAUAUAUAAUAUUAUUACACUGAAAGAAAAAGAGAAUGUUUAUACCAUUUACUAGCUGACGUAUACAAAGCAAAUCUUAUUACAAUGUUUAUAUGUUUCUAUAUAAGCUGAAAUAUCUAAAUACAACUUAUGUUAUUUACUUUCUGUCGAAUAUCGUAUGAGAUCAGUCUUUCGGCAACCACCGAGGUGGAAUGUUGGAAGAUCCCAUACAAACAUACAUUUGUAAAUAGAUACAUAUGUGUAUAUGUACAUAUGUACGUAACUAGAUACAUAAUAUACACACCCACACACACAUACACAAAGUAUACAGUAGUCUUUCUCUUGGGUAUUGCUUGAGAUUUUCUUAUAUUGUAUGGACAGUAACGAGCAACCUUUGUUCUGCAAUGAGCCAAAAUUAAAUAUCUGAUAUUGUUAUUGAUACAUUAUGAACUAAAAAUGUUUAAAUUGAUUAAAAAGAAAUUAAUACUUGAUAGAAAAAGAAAAAAUUACACAUUAUUGAAGGGUAUUUGUUAUUUUCGGCAUCAAUUUACAAUGAAAUGUUUUCUAUAAUCCUAUUGAUUUUUUAUUAGCAAUACUUUUAAUGUGUACGGAUAAAUGUAUGUAUAUAUAUCUUUGUAAUGGAACGAAAUCUAUUAGUUGUUUAUUUUUAAUUAGAUAUAUGAUUCUACUUCUCGUUAAUAAACUUUACAUUAUUAUAUUGGAAGAUACAAUGGAAGAUAUCGAAUUAAACUCUAAUACAAUCUUUUAUUCGUUUGUCGUUAACGUUAAGACUUUUGAUAAAAGAUUUCAAUACUUCGGUUAAUAGUUAAAAUGCCUUUCAACUGGCCGUAGAUAACAAAGCUCUUCACAAAUGUAUCAACGUAAGAUGUAAUACCACUGAUUAAGAAAUUCACUAAUUAUAGUCGACUAUUGUCAUUUCUCGAUGCAAGAUGUAAGUCGUAUUUGCAUUGAUACGCAGAUGAAUACGUAUAUGAUAAUGUUUUUUUAUAAACCCUGAGUUUAUUUCUGAUACAGAUUGAGAUAUAUACAGAUAUAUAUAUAUAUAUAUAUAUAUAUUAUAUAUAAUAUGUAUAUAUAUAUACAGAGAGAGAGAGAGAGAGAGAAAGAAAGGGUAAACGAAUCGAGAAUUUGAAUAAAACAAAGAACGAUAUCGAGAUUAAAUUGAAAAGAAACUUUGUUAGCUCUUGACAAAAAGGCAUUCGAUAAGGAAGCAUUAGGCGUCCAAAGUACAAUUAUAUCAAAAACCCAUUCAAAUUAAAGAAGAUUACAUAUGUAUCUGAUUAUGAUACCUUAUAUUUCUUAUUAUUCAUAUAAAAGAAAAGAAAAAGAAAAAAAAAACAGAUAAGAAGAAUAAGAAAGAAAUCUCAUCUUUAUUUCCCAAUAUCUUCAAUUAUGAUAGAUUUCUAAAUACAAUAAGGAUAAUAAUAACAAUAAUAACAACAACAAUAAUAUGCAGAAGAAGAAGAAGAAGAAGAAUAAAGUAUCUUGGUAUAUUCAAUUUUGCUUUCUUGUUCUUAUGUAGUAUAUGUAUCUAGUACAAUGUAAAUUUUAAUGUGGGAUUUCAUUUAAACGUGUCAUUUAAUGCGUAUUAUGAUUAAUAUGCAUUAUUCACACACAUAUCAAGGUAUGUGUAUUUAAAUGAAUAUAGAAUUUAUACCUCGUUGACAAAUUAAAUUUACAAUAUUGAAAUAAGGGUGUCACGAUCAGGUACACGCAUCACGUUCGAUCGUCGACGAUCUUUCUAUAUAUAAAAUAUAUCGAUACCAAACGAUAUUACAUUUGUUAAAAGGCAUAUACGUAUUACGUACAUAC